ensembl:misc_RNA Metazoa_SRP Metazoan signal recognition particle RNA
GCUGGGCAUGGUGGUGCAUGCCUGUAAUCCCAGCUACUUGGGAGGCUGAGGCAGGAGAAUUGCUUGAACCCAGGAGGUGGUGGUUGCAGUGAGCUGAGAUCACACCACUGCACUCCAGCCUGGGUGACAGAGUGAGACUCUGUCUCAA